GGACAGGUGUCUGAGCGGCCGAAAGAGACGGUCUUGAAAACCGUUGUGGCGCAAGCCACCGCGGGUUCGAAUCCCGCCCUGUCCGCCU
rnacentral:tRNA from 4 species